rnacentral:rRNA from 1 species
GUGGGGAAUAUUGGGCAAUGGGGGCAACCCUGACCCAGCAACGCCGCGUGAGGGAAGAAGGUUUUCGGAUUGUAAACCUCUGUCCUAUGGGAAGAAGGAAGUGACGGUACCAUAGGAGGAAGCCCCGGCUAACUACGUGCCAGCAGCCGCGGUAAUACGUAGGGGGCGAGCGUUGUCCGGAAUUACUGGGCGUAAAGGGUGCGCAGGUGGCCUGACAAGUCAGAUGUGAAAUACCGAUGCUUAACGUCGGGGCUGCAUUUGAAACUAUGAGGCUGGAGUGCAGGAGAGGGAAGCGGAAUUCCUAGUGUAGCGGUGAAAUGCAUAGAUAUUAGGAGGAACACCAGUGGCGAAGGCGACUUUCUGGACUGUAACUGACACUGAGGCACGAAAGCGUGGGGAGCAAACAGGAUUAGAUACCCCAGUAGUCC